UCUGGUUAAAAGCAUGGACUGUGC
rnacentral:piRNA from 1 species